UUGGCUGCCCGCAGACUGCGGGGCCGGUUCCAGCGCAGCCGGGGGCGGAGCGGAGCUGAACGCCGGCUGCUGUCCGCAGUGCGCUGCGGGCCGGGUGUGGCAGGACCGAACAUUCCGGUUGUCCGAUCACCUGGAGGGAUCCGAGCCAGGCUAACGAAGAUGGACUGAGAGAGUAGCCCCUGGAGUCUGGCCAGAAACCUUAAUAGUAGUUUUAUUUUUGAAUGUUUCCAAUGAAAGAACAGCCAGCCCUGGGAACUUGAAAUGGUUCAUUCCCUAUUAUAGCAAGCUUCCAUAAGGGAAUUUUUCAUGUUGCACAACUGAAAUCAUUGGGAGCAUAUUCUACUAGGCAAGUACACAUGAAAAUCCCAUUGGAAAGUCAGAUGCAGUAAAGUUCAAGGUUAUUGUCAUUGAACUGUAUGCAUGUAUACAGCCUAGUGAAACAGUGUUCCUCUGGAUCAAGUACACAACUCAGUGUAUAUAACCUGUCUCUGAAUGUGAACAAAACAAAAGAGAUAGUUGUUGACUUCAGAAGGGCAUGGAGCAACCACUCUCCGCUGAACGUUGACAGCUCCUUGGUAGAGAUUGUUAAGAGCACCAAAUUACUUGGUGUUCACCUGAUGGAGAUUCUCACCUGGUUCCUCAACACCAGCUCCAUAGCAAAGAAAGCUCAGCAGCAUCUCUACUUUCUGCGAAGGCUGAGGGAAGUCCAUCUCCUCCCCCCCCCCCCCCCCAUCCUCAUCACAUUGUACAGAGGUUGUAUUGCGAGCAUCCUGAGCAGCUGCAUCACUGCCUGGUUCAGAAAUUGCACCAUCUUGGAUUGCAAGACCCUGCAGCGGAUAGUGAGGUCAGCUGAGAAGAUCAUCAGGGUCUCUCUUCCCGCCAUCAUGGACACUUACACUAUACGCUGCAUCCUCAAAGGAAACAGCAUUAUGUAGGACCCCAUGCACCCCUCAUACAAUCUCUUCUCCCUCCUGCCGUCUGGGAAAAGGCUCCUCAGCAUUUGGGCUCUCACGACCAGACUAUGUAACAGUUUCUUCCCCCAAGCCAUCGGACUCCUCAAUACCCAGAGACUGGAUUGACACCAGCUUACUGCCCUCUUCUGUGCCUAUUGCUUGUUUAUUAUUUAUUGUAAUGCCUGCAAUGUUUUGUGCUCUUAAUACAGUCCUGAGUAGGUCUGUAGUCUAGUGUAGUUUUUUCUGUGUUGUUUUUAUGUAGUUCAGUGUAGUUUUUGUACUGCUUCAUGUAGCACCAUGAUCCUGAAAAACUUUGUCUUGUUUUUACUGUGUAUUGCACCAGCCGUUAUGGUUGAUAUGACAAUAAAAAGUGACUUGACUUG